rnacentral:rRNA from 1 species
UCCGGUUGAUCCUGCCAGACCUGACUGCUAUCGGAUUGAUACUAAGCCAUGCGAGUCAUUGUAGCAAUACAAGGCAGACGGCUCAGUAACGCGUAGUCAACCUACCCUAUGGACGGGAAUAACCUCGGGAAACUGAGUAUAAUGCCCGAUAGAACACUAUACCUGGAAUGGUUUGUGUUCCAAAUGAUUUAUCGCCGUAGGAUGGGACUGCGGCCUAUCAGUUUGUUGGUGAGGUAAUGGCCCACCAAGACUAUUACAGGUACGGGCUCUGAGAGGAGUGGCCCGGAGAUGGGUACUGAGACACGGACCCAGACCCUAUGGGGCGCAGCAGGCGAGAAAACUUUGCAAUGUGCGAAAGCACGACAAGGUUAAUCCGAGUGGUUUCUGCUAAAGGAACCUUUUGACAGUCCUAGAAACACUGUUGAAUAAGGGGUGGGCAAGUUCUGGUGUCAGCCGCCGCGGUAAAACCAGCACCUCAAGUGGUCAGGAUGAUUAUUGGGCCUAAAGCAUCCGUAGCCGGCUCUGUAAGUUUUCGGUUAAAUCUGUACGCUUAACGUACAGGCUGCUGGGAAUACUGCAGAGCUAGGGAGUGGGAGAGGUAGACGGUACUCGGGAGGAAGUGGUAAAAUGCUUUGAUCUCUCGAUGACCACCUGUGGCGAAGGCGGUCUACCAGAACACGUCCGACGGUGAGGGAUGAAAGCUGGGGGAGCAAACCGGAUUAGAUACCCGGGUAGUCCCAGCUGUAAACUAUGCAAACUCAGUGAUGCACUG